rnacentral:rRNA from 1 species
UUCCGUAGGUGAACCUGCGGAGGGAUCAUUACUGAGUUACCGCUCUAUAACCCUUUGUGAACAUACCUACAACUGUUGCUUCGGCGGGUAGGCCGUCCCCUGAAAAGGACGCCUCCCGGCCCGGACCGGACCCCCCGCGGGACCGGACCCGGCGCCCGCCGGAGGAUAACCAAACUCUAUUGUAACGACGUUUCUUCUGAGUGGCAUAAGCAAAAUAAUCAAAACUUUUAACAACGGAUCUCUUGGUUCUGGCAUCGAUGAAGAACGCAGCGAAAUGCGAUAAGUAAUGUGAAUUGCAGAAUUCAGUGAAUCAUCGAAUCUUUGAACGCACAUUGCGCCCGCCAGCAUUCUGGCGGGCAUGCCUGUUCGAGCGUCAUUUCAACCCUCAAGCUCUGCUUGGUGUUGGGGCUCUACGGUCGACGUAGGCCCUCAAAGGUAGUGGCGGACCCUCCCGGAGCCUCCUUUGCGUAGUAACAUUUCGUCUCGCACUGGGAUCCGGAGGGACUCUUGCCGUAAAACCCCCCAAUUUUCCAAAGGUUGACCUCGGAUCAGGUAGA